rnacentral:lncRNA from 1 species
GACAAAUUAAGAUGGAAGUUUUAGGAAAGUAUUUGGAUAAAAAUGCCAAAGAAGUAAAUCUGUGCUAUAAGUAAAUCAUUAUGAUAAUUAAAUAAAAAAUGGAUUUCUGCUCUAAUUUGCACAAAGCUGAUGAAUGGCACAAAAUGAUAUACAGAAGAAAAGAUAACUGGAAGGAUUGAAACACAACAUAAUCAUUCCUAGUUCAGAUGCAAAUGUUAUUAGCUUCUCUUCUAGUUUGAUCUUUUCUUUAGACAUACAGACUUUCAAAUUCAACUAACAAGGAAAAGUAAAAUUUGCACAUAAUUCAGAUGCUGUUUUUUAUGAGGUACAGAGAGAUUUAAAAACAAAUCCUUUCCAAUAAACUCCCAAGUUAAUAGUCAGGAAGUUUACCUUAUGGGAUGAUGUGUCUAUCUCUUAACCACAGCGAAUGGACACUGAUUAAUAAUCUGCUGGACAACAGUUGUGCAAUCCCUUAGGGGACCUCAGAAGUCACUGCUGGAAAAGUACAAGGGAGUUUAAAGAAGGGGAGGAUGGAAGGAAAGGCUGAGGCUCCCAAGUGGAAUCAGGAAAUUAAGAGGUUCAGCUGAAGAUCCUCUAAGUGGCACUUUAGUGGGGAAGCUUCAGAGUACUUACAGCUCCCCUUGCUGGCAGCAAGUAAGAAGUGCAGCUUUAUGUGAAGACUUCAGCAUGCUUAUCCUGAAAAUAACAGCGAAGUGUGGUCUCUGCGCCUGCUGCUCCCUCUGCUGAUCUGAAGCCGCACAGCCCAGCACGAUUCCUACCUACUUGGUUUUCUGGAGGGACCCCAGGAUGACACAUGUGGAUCACAGCAUGUGAGACCAAUGUGAUGAAGAGGUCCUGCUAAACUGGUGAAGUUUCGAGUGCCUCAGUUGUCCAGAUCAUGCUUAGGCAAUCUCUUCCAAGGCAAGUGGUAGCGUGCUGCUCCUGAUAUCAUUUACCUUAAGAAGGGAGAGGAUCACAAAUAUCAGUGGUACCUGAGCUCGUCACUACAGAAUAGUGACCAGUGGGAAUGAAAUAUGGUAUUCGUGAAUAAGUAUGAACACUUCAAAGUCUAUGCGUAUGCAACAUGUUUUAUGCAGGGUAGCAAAAGCAAUUAGAGAUCCUUAGUGCAUAAAGAAACUGUAUGGCAAGGAGUGCUAAAAAAAUCAUCGGUAGGUAGUCAGGGCUGAAACAAUAGAUUUAACCACUGAGCAGUGUUUAGCAAGACAGUUGUCUUAAUUGUUUCUCCCAGUAUAUAGAAACUGCUGUUCCGUUGCUAGAAAAUGCUAACACAAAAAGCAGGUGUGAGGGAAAAGGGAAGAAACAGAGCUGCCGGC